AGUGAACGCUGGCGGUAGGCCUAACACAUGCAAGUCGAACGGCAGCACAGUAAGAGCUUGCUCUUACGGGUGACGAGUGGAGGACGGGUGAGGAAUGCAUCGGAAGCUACGUUUUCGUGGGGGAUAACGUAGGGAAACUUACGCUAAUACCGCAUACGACCUACGGGUGAAAGCAGGGGAUCUUCGGACCUUGCGCGAUUGAAUGAGCCGAUGUCGGAUUAGCUAGUUGGCGGGGUAAAGGCCCACCAAGGCGACGAUCCGUAGCUGGUCUGAGAGGAUGAUCAGCCACACUGGAACUGAGACACGGUCCAGACUCCUACGGGAGGCAGCAGUGGGGAAUUUUGGACAAUGGGCGCAAGCCUGAUCCAGCCAUACCGCGUGGGUGAAGAAGGCCUUCGGGUUGUAAAGCCCUUUUGUUGGGAAAGAAAAGCAGCACGUUAAUACCCCGCGGUACUGACGGUACCCAAAGAAUAAGCACCGGCUAACUUCGUG
rnacentral:rRNA from 1 species